rnacentral:rRNA from 1 species
AGUGAACGCUGGCGGUAGGCCUAACACAUGCAAGUCGAACGGCAGCACAGUAAGAGCUUGCUCUUACGGGUGGCGAGUGGCGGACGGGUGAGGAAUACAUCGGAAUCUACUUUUUCGUGGGGGAUAACGUAGGGAAACUUACGCUAAUACCGCAUACGACCUACGGGUGAAAGCAGGGGAUCUUCGGACCUUGCGCGAUUGAAUGAGCCGAUGUCGGAUUAGCUAGUUGGCGGGGUAAAGGCCCACCAAGGCGACGAUCCGUAGCUGGUCUGAGAGGAUGAUCAGCCACACUGAAACUGAGACACGGUCCAGACUCCUACGGGAGGCAGCAGUGGGGAAUAUUGGACAAUGGGCGCAGGCCUGAUCCAGCCAUACCGCGUGGGUGAAGAAGGCCUUCGGGUUGUAAAGCCCUUUUGUUGGGAAAGAAAAGCAGCAGGUUAAUACCCCGCUGUUCUGACGGUACCCAAAGAAUAAGCACCGGCUAACUUCGUG